CAAUAGCGUAUAUUAAAGCUGUUGCGGUUAAAAAGCUCGUAGUUGGAUUUCUGUCAAGGACAACUGGUCCGCCCUCCGGGUGAGCACAUAGUUUGGUCUUGACAUCUUGCUGGAAGCUGUUGCUGCACUUGGCUGUGUGGCGCAGUGUUCAGCACUUUCACUUUGAGGAAAUUGGAGUGUUUCAAGCAGGCACAUGCCUUUGGACACAGUAGCAUGGAAUAAUUAGAUUGGGCUUUUGCUCCAAUUUGUCGGUUUCUGGAGCUGAGGUGAGUAUUAAUGGGGAUUGUUGGGGGCAUCCGAAUUUAGCCGUCAGAGGUGAAAUUCUUGGAUUUGUUAAAGACGGACUACUGCGAAAGCAUUUGCCAAGGAUGUUUUCAUUG
rnacentral:rRNA from 1 species